UACGUAGGGACCAAGCGUUGUCCGGAAUCAUUGGGCGUAAAGCGCGCGUAGGCGGCCCGGUAAGUCCGUUGUAAAAGUCGAAGGCUCAACCUUCGAAAGCCGGUGGAUACUGCAGGGCUAGAGUCCGGAAGAGGCGAGUGGAAUUCCUGGUGUAGCGGUGGAAUGCGCAGAUAUCAGGAGGAACACCAAUAGCGAAGGCAGCUCGCUGGGACGGUACUGACGCUAAGGCGCGAAAGCGUGGGGAGCGAACAGG
rnacentral:rRNA from 1 species